AGCAUGGAGACACUAGGUCUGUUAGCAUGGAGACACUAGUGCUGGAGGUGUUAGCAUGGAGACACUAGGACUGGAGGUGUUAGCAUGGAGACACUAAGACUGUUAGCAUGGAGACACUAGGACUGGAGGUGUUAGCAUGGAGACACUCGGACUGUUUGCAUGGAGACACUAGGACUGGAGGUGUUUGCAUGGAGACACUAGGACUGUUAGCAUGGAGACACUAGGACUGGAGGUGUUAGCAUGGAGACACUAGGACUGUUAGCAUGGAGACACUAGGGCUGUUAGCAUGGAGACACUAGGUCUGUUAGCAUGGAGACACUAGUGCUGGAGGUGUUAGCAUGG